UGCCAGCCGCCGCGGUAAUACGGAGGGUGCAAGCGUUGUUCGGAAUUACUGGGCGUAAAGCGCGCGUAGGCGGCUUUUUAAGUCAGAUGUGAAAGUCCACGGCUCAACCGUGGAAGUGCAUUUGAAACUGGGAGGCUUGAGUAUUGGAGGGGGUGGUGGAAUUCGCGGUGUAGAGGUGAAAUUCGUAGAUAUUCGGAGGAACACCAGUGGCGAAGGCGGCUUUCUGGACCGAUACUGACGCUGAGACGCGAAAGCGUGGGGGGCAAACAGGAUUAGAUA
rnacentral:rRNA from 1 species